rnacentral:rRNA from 1 species
GACGGAGGAUGCAAGCGUUAUCCGGAAUGAUUGGGCGUAAAGCGUCCGCAGGUGGCAGUUCAAGUCUGCUGUCAAAGACCGGGGCUUAACUUCGGAAAGGCAGUGGAAACUGAACAGCUAGAGUAUGGUAGGGGCAGAGGGAAUUCCUGGUGUAGCGGUGAAAUGCGUAGAUAUCGGGAAGAACACCCGUGGCUAAGGCGGCUCUCUAGUACGGUACUGACGCUGAGACGCGAAAGCGUGGGGAGCGAACAGG